GAUGAACGCUGGCGGCGUGCCUAAUACAUGCAAGUCGAGCGAACAGACGAGGAGCUUGCUCCUCUGACGUUAGCGGCGGACGGGUGAGUAACACGUGGAUAACCUACCUAUAAGACUGGGAUAACUUCGGGAAACCGGAGCUAAUACCGGAUAAUAUAUUGAACCGCAUGGUUCAAUAGUGAAAGACGGUUUUGCUGUCACUUAUAGAUGGAUCCGCGCCGCAUUAGCUAGUUGGUAAGGUAACGGCUUACCAAGGCAACGAUGCGUAGCCGACCUGAGAGCGUGAUCGGCCACACGGGAACUGAGACACGGUCCAGACUCCUACGGGAGGCAGCAGUAGGGAAUCUUCCGCAAUGGGCGAAAGCCUGACGGAGCAACGCCGCGUGAGUGAUGAAGGUCUUCGGAUCGUAAAACUCUGUUAGUAGGGAAGAACAAAUGUGUAAGUAACUAUGCACGUCUUGACGGUACCUAAUCAGAAAGCCACGGCUAACUACGUG
rnacentral:rRNA from 1 species